GAUUAUUUUUGUUGAGUGCAUAUCACAUAGCAUAUCCAGCAGAGCUGACGAGGACACCAACUUAAGAUCCAUACUUAAAAGUAGCAACUGAAUGAAAAAUGAGUUUAUUGCAGCUAAAUUCUUAAGCAAUUGCCAAAGUUGCAUAAAAAACACUUGAGAAUGAAAAACCACAUGUAUACACAAUAAUAGGAUCCAAAAACAUCAACCGAAAAUGCAUAAUUAACUUGGCAUUAAGGGUGAAAAAACAAUAGGAUAUGUAAAUUUCUUGUAUGUUAGAUAACUAAGCAGUAACCUAAAUGGCAUAGAGGUCUCAC
rnacentral:misc_RNA from 1 species